GACGAACGCUGGCGGCGUGCUUAACACAUGCAAGUCGAACGGAAAGGCCCUGCUUUUGUGGGGUGCUCGAGUGGCGAACGGGUGAGUAACACGUGAGUAACCUGCCCUUGACUUUGGGAUAACUUCAGGAAACUGGGGCUAAUACCGGAUAGGAGCUCCUGCUGCAUGGUGGGGGUUGGAAAGUUUCGGCGGUUGGGGAUGGACUCGCGGCUUAUCAGCUUGUUGGUGGGGUAGUGGCUUACCAAGGCUUUGACGGGUAGCCGGCCUGAGAGGGUGACCGGCCACAUUGGGACUGAGAUACGGCCCAGACUCCUACGGGAGGCAGCAGUGGGGAAUAUUGCACAAUGGGCGGAAGCCUGGUGCAGCAACGCCGCGUGCGGGACGACGGCCUUCGGGUUGUAAACCGCUUUCGCCUGUGACGAAGCGUGAGUGACGGUAAUGGGUAAAGAAGCACCGGCUAACUACGUG
rnacentral:rRNA from 1 species